rnacentral:misc_RNA from 1 species
UUAAGUUCAGCGGGUAUCCCUACCUGAUCCGAGGUCAAACUGUGGGUAUAGUCUUGCUGGACGCCCGUGCCAGUGGAGACGAGGCGCGUUUCUGCUGCGCUCGAAGCCAAUACACAGGCCGCCAAUGCUUUUGAGGCGAGUCCACGCGCGGAGGCGGGACAAACGCCCAACACCAAGCAGUGCUUGAGGGGUUAGAUGAC